rnacentral:rRNA from 1 species
CCUACGGGGGGCUGCAGUGGGGAAUAUUGCACAAUGGGCGCAAGCCUGAUGCAGCCAUGCCGCGUGUGUGAAGAAGGCCUUCGGGUUGUAAAGCACUUUCAGCGGGGAGGAAGGCGGUGAGGUUAAUAACCUCAUCGAUUGACGUUACCCGCAGAAGAAGCACCGGCUAACUCCGUGCCAGCAGCCGCGGUAAUACGGAGGGUGCAAGCGUUAAUCGGAAUUACUGGGCGUAAAGCGCACGCAGGCGGUCUGUCAAGUCGGAUGUGAAAUCCCCGGGCUCAACCUGGGAACUGCAUUCGAAACUGGCAGGCUAGAGUCUUGUAGGGGGGGGUAGAAUUCCAGGUGUAGCGGUGAAAUGCGUAGAGAUCUGGAGGAAUACCGGUGGCGAAGGCGGCCCCCUGGACAAAGACUGACGCUCAGGUGCGAAAGCGUGGGGAGCAAACAGGAUAGAUACCCUUGUAGUC